UUGUGAAAUUCUUUUUGGUUGUCAUCAUAAUUUUAACCCAUUCUAAUCGAUAAAAACAAACGUUGUUUGGGUCGUCUACAUAAAAACAGAUAUGUGAAAUUUGUCACCAAAAUGAAAAAAGGAGCUGACCGACGAUAAUUAUAUUUUAGUGAACGAAAAAAAAUAGCCAAAGAAUUAUCACUGUUGACGGAAAAAAGGCUUGUGUUUUUUGGAAUCAUUUGACAUAUAUAUAGAGAUUGAUAGAUUAUGAUUACCAUGAAAAUAAUAAUCUCGUGGUCAUCAUUAUCGUGAUUGUGUCACGCCAUCGUUUUUUUUU